UACCUGGUUGAUCCUGCCAGUAAUCAUAUGCUUGUCUCAAAGAUUAAGCCAUGCAUGUCUAAGUACAUGCCGAAAUAAGGCGAAACCGCGAAUGGCUCAUUAAAUCAGUUAUGGUUCCUUAGAUCGUUUCUUCCUACUUGGAUAACUGUGGCAAUUCUAGAGCUAAUACAUGCAGUGAGCCUGAAGCCCUUUGGGCGACGGGUGCUUUUAUUAGACCAAGAUCGAUCGGGUUUCGGCCCGUAUUGUGUGGUGACUCUGGAUAACUUUGUGCUGAUCGCAUGGCCACGAGCCGGCGACGUUUCUUUCAAGUGUCUGCCUUAUCAACUUUCGAUGGUAGGUUACUUGCUUACCAUGGUUGUUACGGGUAACGGAGAAUCAGGGUUCGAUUCCGGAGAGGGAGCCUGAGAAACGGCUACCACAUCCAAGGAAGGCAGCAGGCGCGCAAAUUACCCACUCCCGGCACGGGGAGGUAGUGACGAAAAAUAACAAUACGGGACUCUUUUGAGGCCCCGUAAUUGAAAUGAGUACACUCUAAAUCCUUUAACGAGGAUCAAUUGGAGGGCAAGUCUGGUGCCAGCAGCCGCGGUAAUUCCAGCUCCAAUAGCGUAUACUAAAGCUGCUGCGGUUAAAAAGCUCGUAGUUGGAUCUCAGUUCCAGACGAGUAGUGCAUCUACCCGAUGCGACGGCUCGGACUGAACAUCAUGCCGGUCCUUUCUUGGUGCACUUCAUUGUGUGCCUCGAGAAGGCCGGUGCUUUUACUUUGAAAAAAUUAGAGUGCUCAACGCAGGCGAGUCGCCUGAAUAAACUUGCAUGGAAUAAUAGAACAAGACCUCGUUUCUGUUCUGUUGGUUUUUGGAAUACGAGGUAAUGAUUAAGAGGGACAGACGGGGGCAUUCGUAUUGCGGCGCUAGAGGUGAAAUUCUUGGACCGUCGCAAGACGAACUACUGCGAAAGCAUUUGCCAAGAAUGUUUUCUUUGAUCAAGAACGAAAGUCAGAGGUUCGAAGGCGAUCAGAUACCGCCCUAGUUCUGACCAUAAACGAUGCCAACCAGCGAUCCGCCUGAGUUACUCAAAUGACUCGGCGGGCAGCUUCCGGGAAACCAAAGUGUUUGGGUUCCGGGGGAAGUAUGGUUGCAAAGCUGAAACUUAAAGGAAUUGACGGAAGGGCACCACCAGGAGUGGAGCCUGCGGCUUAAUUUGACUCAACACGGGAAAACUUACCCGGCCCGGACACUGGGAGGAUUGACAGAUUGAGAGCUCUUUCUUGAUUCGGUGGAUGGUGGUGCAUGGCCGUUCUUAGUUGGUGGAGCGAUUUGUCUGGUUAAUUCCGAUAACGAACGAGACUCUAGCCUAUUAAAUAGGUGCGGGGUUCCCAGCACCUUACAACCUUCUUAGAGGGACAAGCGGCUCCUAGCCGCACGAAACAGAGCAAUAACAGGUCUGUGAUGCCCUUAGAUGUCCGGGGCCGCACGCGCGCUACACUGAAGGAAGCAGCGUGUCUUUAUCCCUGUCUGAAAGGACUGGGUAACCCGUGGAACUUCUUUCGUGAUUGGGAUAGGGGCUUGCAAUUGUUCCCCUUGAACGAGGAAUUCCCAGUAAGCGCGAGUCAUAAGCUCGCGUUGAUUACGUCCCUGCCCUUUGUACACACCGCCCGUCGCUACUACCGAUUGAAUGAUUUAGUGAGGUCUUCGGACCGAUGUCCGGCGCGGCCUUUCGGUUGCGCCGGUCUGUUGGAAAGAUGACCAAACUUGAUCAUUUAGAGGAAGUAAAAGUCGUAACAAGGUUUCCGUAGGUGAACCUGCGGAAGGAUCAUUA
rnacentral:rRNA from 1 species